rnacentral:rRNA from 1 species
ACGAACGCUGGCGGCGUGCUUAACACCUGCAAGUCGAACGGUGAAGCGCCUUCCUUUUUGGUGGGUGUGGAUGAGUGGCGAACGGGUGAGUAACACGUGAGUAACCUGCCCCCUUCUCCUGGAUAACCGCAUGAAAGUGUGGCUAAUACGGGAUAUUCUGGGUCUGUCGCAUGAUGGGUCUGGGAAAGAUAUUGUUUCGGUGGGGGAUGGGCUCGCGGCCUAUCAGCUUGUUGGUGGGGUGAUGGCCUACCAAGGCGGUGACGGGUAGCCGGCCUGAGAGGGUGGACGGUCACACUGGGACUGAGACACGGCCCAGACUCCUACGGGAGGCAGCAGUGGGGAAUAGUGCACAAUGGGCGCAAGCCUGAUGCAGCGACGCCGCGUGAGGGAUGGAGGCCUUCGGGUUGUGAACCUCUUUCGCCAGUGAAGCAGGCCUGCCUCGUUUGUGGGUGGGUUGACGGUAGCUGGAUAAGAAGCGCCGGCUAACUACGUG